rnacentral:rRNA from 1 species
CACGUAGGGACCAAGCGUUGUCCGGAUUUAUUGGGCGUAAAGAGCUCGUAGGCGGUCGUGUAAGUCGGGUGUGAAAUCUCCGGGCUCAACUCGGAGGGGCCACCCGAUACUGCUCGACUCGAGUCCGGUAGGGGAGUGGGGAAUUCCUGGUGUAGCGGUGAAAUGCGCAGAUAUCAGGAGGAACACCGGUGGCGAAGGCGCCACUCUGGGCCGGUACUGACGCUGAGGAGCGAAAGCGUGGGGAGCGAACAGG